AAACUACGGGAGUUUCAUUAAUCUGCCCUUUUCGCAUAUUUCAGGCUCACACAUGGCGAGCAGAUCAGUCGAGAGACCACCGACAAUUCCCAUCAGUUUCAAGCAAACACACAGACACUUUAAGAUGUGCUGUUGCCAUGGAGACUGUGACCCCGUGAACCACAGGGCACUCCGAUGGCAGCUUGUUGCUUUAACUUACUUUUUUUUUUUUUAAUUGAAUAUCAUUGUUUGAUAUCUUUCUGCCAUCUCUUCUUAUUUCUGUGCUAAGCAGGCUGUAUGCUUUUUGUAUAAUGCAUGCACCGGACAGAAUCCUCAUGUCUCAAGAAAAAAAUAGCUUUUUCACGAAACGAACAAAAUACAAAAGAAAAAAGGGCAUGCUUCUUGAGCGAUUAAUACUGCAUCGCGAAAGAAAGCAAGUCACUUUCAACACUUUUCAUCAGUCAAUAAUUUGUUGAAUUAUGAUGUAAACUCCACCAUUUGGCUUUUGUUAUAUAAGCAAAUAAAGCUCACCCAAUUCCUACACAGUGGAAAGGCAAAGAUAAGAAAAACAACUACGUACAUAGGCUACUACGCUAACGGCCAUAGCUCAUGUAGUCAGGUGCAAUAUAAAAUUGACCUUUUCUCCUUUUGUCAUUAUUGCUAGAGAAGAUUGUCCCGUAAUGACGUGGUUAUUUCAAUGUCCAUUGUGAGGCCCGGUAUUGCCGGAUAUGUUCAUAAUUAAUCUUAUCAUCAUGGAUUCCCUGUAGACAGUCCCAGCUCUUAUUACCACCGGUGGCUAUGGCAACACCAGGAAGAAGUGACACAUCCCCGAUGGCAACAACACGAUUGGGUAACACAUCCAGACGGUGCAUGCAAAUGGGUGACCUUUUCCAACCUUUAAAAUCUUCCUGCUGAAGCCUGGCUCAAAACGCUUUUGUGUGUGAAUUGUUUGAGGUAUUGCGUGCAGUUUGAACAAAAUUCCAUGACCAAGGGAUGUCAGGCCAGCACAGUCGUUGGAUGCGGCACCUGAGGGAGGGUCACCGGGUGUGCUUUGACUGGCGGCCGCCUGCUCUCGUCGCCAGACACGAGAUCUGUGCUGGAGAUGGAGGCGAGGAGCAGUGAGGACGACGGGAGAAAGCUUCUCUGGUGGCAGGCUGUGGGAAACCCCCAUUGGAAGGCAGUGUGGGGAGGAUGAAGACCUGUUUUUAGUCCACCUUACGUCAGCUGCCUCUUCUCAUGACCUUAUCCUCCUCCUCGGUCAAUCCACACAAGUCCGCAAGAUCGAUGUCCACCGACUGAGGGUGUGUUGCCAUGGUUACAGUCCUAACAUGAAGCAAGAAUCGAAGAGCGGCCCGUUGUUCGGCAGGCUCUCGUGUUUUGACACAAACGCAACAACUGCAGUUAAGAGGAACGACCUUAUUCAAAUGGGAAAUUCACCAUCUCACACUAUAAUCAUUCCAAACUCGAGGACCUACUUCCUCUCUUAAAUUGACAUCCAUAUUCUCACGAAGAUGAAUUUGCAUUUGUCGUCCCGAUUUGAGCCCCCCCGUCCCCUUAUGAAACAAAGUACGGAGACACCACAAGCCUGUUCAUCUCAUCUCGAGCUGUCAUGUCACUUGCAAAUAGUCACGACUCGGGAUGCUUAUGCCGCUUUAGUCAUAAAAUUGUGAUGAAGAGUUACAGAAGACACGAUUCAUAACAAUCACAGAGAAGCUGGUAAAAUGGUGUGAUCGCAAAGUUUUGCCAACCGAACCGAUAGUAUCACAAUAUUGUCGAGCGAGAUUAUCUACCCACUCAUGUAUUAAAAAGGUCUGUUUUAAAUCGCUUCCUAAAAUGUAAUUGGAGUGAACAUCUUAUGGAAAACCGCCAUUUUAAAUGUUCAUAUCCACAUAGUUGAGUCAAUCAAAUGUGAAAUUGAUCAAAUCCCAACACGCACGCUCACACACACACACUCACCAAGUUAAUCUUUCGAAGAAAUGGUCUUUUAGUCUGGGCGAAGAUCCAAACCCUAUUAAGCGACGGCUGACUCCACUUUCUAAAACACCCUCAUGCAGAGGCACGAUCAGUCGAAAUCCGGAAUCACAAUUUCCACAUCGGCGUAAUGCCCCUGCUAUCACAUCAAAGCCUAAAGCUAAGCAGAGCUGCACUGAGUUUUCUUUGGGAUGCACAGAUUAGCGUGAAUCUAAAGCAUUUCUGAGAAGCGGCACAUACCAGGUUCCCCGGUUAAUGUGAUGGAAGUGCGUUUUUGAGUGUGUGUGUGGGGUGGGGGGGUGGGGGGUGUCAUGUGUCCUUGUGCCACAUACACACAGUGUAGCUUCAACUGAUGCCAUCAUGAGUUAAUAGUUUGACAGUCUAACAUGUUCUUCCACUUUAACUGUUUUGUCAUUCCACUUGCGCCACCUUGAGUUGCCACAAUGUAUUGACUCAUCAACGGAAACGUCUGCGAUACUGUAUCCCAAAACAAUACAAUCCAUUGCGGUAUCGGUAUUUAACUGUCAUGAUUUGGUUUGGGACCAACAGGUGGCACUGUAGUGUUGUCCCUGCAGCUGCACACCUGUUGGUCGUUAUGUCGUUAGCCAUUUAAAAGGGACUCCUGGCACGACCAUUCAGUGUCGGGUCAUUGCUUGCUCUUGGCUACUGUCACGUUUGUUUGUUGCCGUUUGUCCCCUGCUGCCAGGUUUGUUUCGGUCAUUGUUAUGUUUUAGCUUCAGUUGUGAUUUUUGUUUGCUACUCUGGACUUGGUUUGUUUUGGAUUUAGUUUUCUGAGUUUUAAUACAAUCUUUCAAGUACACCUAGCUGCUUCCUCUUGCCUGCUUUCUGGGGUCCACCGCCACCUCGACACGUGACAUUAAUGACACUCACUCAUCUCUGAUAAUUACCUUUGCAGCAACCGACGAGCUGGGCUUCUCCAGCAGGUCCCACAGUUUCUUUCGUUUCUCCGCACAGCAAGUGUUGUCAAAUUCUUCCCCUUCCCUGUCCUUUAAAUUAUCCGCCUCCCGUUUCAGCUCCUCGUUCAUCUGCUCCUUCUUCUGGUGGUACCUGGCUUGGCAGCAAGACUCUAGGUAGAUCUCGUCGAUGCCCCAGUAGUCCAGUUCCUGGCUGAAGGACAGAGCGCACAUCUCCUCCAUCAUGUGUAACUUUCCCGUGCGGUAGAAGUUGAGGAUGGACGUGAAUGCGCCCGGGUGGCGAUCGAAAAAAUACUCGUUCUCAUCCAGGUUGUAGUCGUCGCACACCUCCAUCAGAGACUCGUGGCUGCUACAGUCUUGCAGCUUGCCCAGACGAGUCCGCGGGAGCCUGUCCAGCGUUCGCCACAAGACUUCGUGCGGGAGGCCGCCCACAUUGAGGCGGACCCUCCGGAAGCAUGACUUGCUACUGACGACGUCCACCGGCUCGGGCGGGAGCGACGACGUUGACUGGGAGUCGGCCUUGUUGAACUCCGCCAAGGACUUCUCCAUGAUAACUUCACAAAAGAGAAGCGGCAGAGACGGAGAUGGAGCAGAAAAAGAAAAGGAGCCGCCGUCACUGGUUUACUCGAGCCGAGCUGUGAUGCCAUCCAUUCCCACCCUCCUCAGCCCCCCGACAUGUCACCCGCGUCUAGCGAGCUCCAUACGCCUCACUCCGC